rnacentral:rRNA from 1 species
AGGACGAACGCUGGCGGCGUGCUUAACACAUGCAAGUCGAACGGUAAGGCCCUUCGGGGUACACGAGUGGCGAACGGGUGAGUAACACGUGGGUGAUCUGCCCUGCACUUCGGGAUAAGCCUGGGAAACUGGGUCUAAUACCGGAUAGGACCAUGGACUUCACGGUUUGUGGUGGAAAGCUUUUGCGGUGUGGGAUGGGCCCGCGGCCUAUCAGCUCGUUGGUGGGGUAAUGGCCUACCAAGGCGACGACGGGUAGCCGGCCUGAGAGGGUGUCCGGCCACACUGGGACUGAGAUACGGCCCAGACUCCUACGGGAGGCAGCAGUGGGGAAUAUUGCACAAUGGGCGCAAGCCUGAUGCAGCGACGCCGCGUGAGGGAUGACGGCCUUCGGGUUGUAAACCUCUUUCAAUAGGGACGAAGCGCAAGUGACGGUACCUAUAGAAGAAGCACCGGCCAACUACGUG